GUGAAACACUAUCUCCUUAAUACUGUCUGCGUGAUAGUGAGUUCUCUUGAUGAUUAUGGAGCUUAAAGAUUGAGUGAAUAUUGUCCUGCUGGGGUUUGGACUGACAUUUUUGUCAUUUUUCUGGGGAAUUUCUUCCCUUUGGAUUGAGAAACCUUACUUAAUGCUUGUACUAUCAUUGUAUCUUGAAAGAAAAGAAAUGCCUUUUGAACUCAGGGACUGAUAGGCCGAAGGGACUGUAGCCUUGUCUCAGAUGAGACUUUGAAUUUUUUAUAUUUGGAAUGAGUUAAGAAUUUUGGAAACUUUUGAACAUGCAUGACUGUGUUUUGCUGUGUGAGAAGGACAUGAGGUUCUGGGGUAUCUGGGUCAAAUAAUAUGGAUUGACUGUGUGUCCAUAUAAAACUCAUAUGGAAUUGUAAUCCUUAAUUUUGGGGCCUGGUGGUAGGCGAUUUAAUCUUGAAUGGGAGGGGGUUCGGGGUGGUAGGAAAAGGAGGGGUAGGGUGGGGAGGAGUAGGUUGUCAGUAGGGUGGUAGGAGGAUGGGGGGUAGUAGGAAGGGGGAGUAGCCUUCUGCAGAGGCAGAGGCUCAUGGAAAACCUCUACUAGGGCAGUGCACCUGUGGCUUUGCAGGCUUUAGCCCCAUGGCUGCUCUCAUGGGCUGGGCUGGUGUUGAGUGCCUGUAGCUUUUCCAUACUGAGGGUGUGAGCUGUUGGUGGGCCUAUGAAUCCGGGAUCUGGAGGAUGGUGGCCUCCUUUUUGGGGGCUCCAAGCCCAUAUUUUCCUUCUGCACUGCCAUAGUGGAAGUUUCUCAAGAGGCUUGGCCUCUGCAGGAGGCUUCUGCCUGGAAACAGUGGGCGGUGGUGUGGGUGCAGGAUCUUCUUGAUGCUGAUCUCCUGAUAGUGAGACCUCAUGUGAUCUGGUUGUCUAACAGGGUGUGGUACCUCUUUCCUCUCUCUGUCUUGCUCCUACCCCUGCCAUAUGAAACAUCUCAUUGCCACUUGGCCUUCUGGUAUGAUUAGGAAGGGCCUGGUCAGUGUGGGCCUGGUCAGUGAACUAGUCAGUUGGGACUUGGUCAGUGAGGCCUAUUUACUGGGGGAAUGGUCAGCCAGGGUCUGCUUAGAGAGGGUCUCAUUAGAGGGAUCGAGUAGUGCAGGUCUUGGUGAGUGGGGACCUAGUGGCAGACAAAUGUUUGGUGUCUGGUCAGUGCAAACCUGGGCUGCAGGGCUUGGUGAGUGGAGACCUGGUCAGCUGUGGCUUAGUGGUAGCCUUGUCAGAAUGGGCUGGGUCACUGGUGACCCGGUCAAGGGGUGCUAUUCAGUGGAGGCCUGGUCACAUGGCACCUAGUCAGCAGGGCAUGUCCUCAUCAGUGAGACCCUUGUCAGUGGGACCCUGGUCAUGGCAGCCUGGUCAGGUCAGUGGAACCUAAUCAGUGGGGGCCUGGUCAGAGAGGACUUGAUCAGUGGUGGCUUUUGUAGCACUGGUCUAUGGGGUGACCUGGUCAACGGGGGUCUGAGCGGUACAUGCCUGUUCAGUGGUGCCUAGUCACUAGGUUCCUGGUCGGGGCAUCUGGUCACCUCAGGCCUGGUUAGUAGGGACCUGGUCACUGGCAGCCUGUUCCCUGGAGACCUGGUCAGUGGGGCUUCAUCUGUGGGGCCAGGCAAUGGGGUCAUGAUUGGUGGAAUGUGGUCAGGGAGGUCUUGUCAGUGAGGCCCUGGUCAGUGAGGCCUUGUCAGUGAGGUCCUUGUCAGUGGGGUCCUGGACACUGUGGGCCUGGCAGCGGGAAUCUAGUUAGUGGGGCCUGGUGAUGGGGGCCUAAUCAGUGAGAGUGUGGUCAGGGAGGACCUGAUGUGCGGGAUCUGGUCAGCAGGGACCUGGUCAGUGGGGCUGCUGAGCACUGCUGGGAGGUGUCAGGGGAAAUGCAUGUUAUCAGGGGCCCUAUGGACAGCUGGGAUGGCCCAGUGGUGUCCAAUGGCCCAGUCAAAAGUGGACAAAGCAGGUGUUUGGAUGGACCUGGGAGAUCUUGCUCAGAGAUUCUGAAAGAACAAAGCAAAAAUAUCAGAUCGGCUGCACAGAAAAAUGGCUCAAAGUGCUUAAUGACCAGAAGAAAUCUGGGAGUAGCAAGAAGGUAAUGUGGAGAGGGGAGGACCUCCAUGACUGGUGUCUGCAGAGCCAGGGGUACAGGGACCCAGUGCAGUGACCUGGCACCACCUGCCUCUCAGAGGGUGGGUAGCACACUGUCCUUACCUGGGGGACAGCAGGCCUGGUCACCGGCUUUUCUCCCUGUCCCUGCAAGCAUCACAUUGCUGGAAGAGAAUCUCAUGCCAGAGCUUGGACCAUCCCUAGCUUGGGGGUUAGGGGUUGUCUCUUGGUGACCUAAAUGAAAAAAUAGGUCCAGAUCAGAGUUCGUGAUGCAUAGCACUCACCCACUCUUUGAAUCAUGGGAGGGGAGGCCUAGUCCUAGGUAAACCUAAACUCUUUGAGGAACCACAGAGCCCAAGGCUGGAAACCUCCAGAAUCCUCCAGCCCCUGAUCCCCCCCCCCCCCGGGGACCUCUGUGGCCUGUCUCACCAGAGCACUCUUCUGUCUGUAGAGGUCUCAGGUGCUCUACAAGGGAGUCCCAUUUCAGGUGUGGGGCUGGGUAUGGUCACUCCUGCUGGAUGUCUAGAAGGUGAAAACCAAGGACCUAGGAAAAUACCAGAUACAGCCUUUCCACCGUCAUCCAGAGCAGGACAAACACGCCAGGUGGUGUCAGGAGCCCAGGUCUCCAGCUGGAGGGAAUGUCAACCCUGCAGUGGGAGCCCAUCAUGCAUCCUAGGCACAGAUGCUAACGUAGGCACCGCAGGUAAGCUGGGUUUGGUACCCCUUCCUGGCUUCAGAAAGAAGCCAAACAAGGAGCUUUCUGCAGAAUGAAACCUCUUUUCCAUCCAGAAGCACUGCUGACUGUUUGGUGGUUGCUGUUAGGGCAGUGAGCCUUUUGUCCAUUCUGAGAUUAGGCUGGUUUCUCCUCUUGGCCCUGGCCUACAGACCAUAAAGGAAAACAGCAAGAGGUCCCCAGCAAACAUCUACAGAUGGCCCUGGACAUCAGCCACAUUCAGAGAAACGUGUCAUGUUCUGGGAGGGCUAAGGCAUCGAGUAAGGCCUAUGGGGCUGGAGGAUCACAGGGCAGGUGGGGCAAUCCAGAGCUGUGGGGGCUUCCAUGGGAAUUGGGAGGUCCCAAGGCAGAGGUAGGGGUUCCACAGGAGGAGUCACAGAGCCACCAAGGGCUCUCCUGGCCCAGGGAGCAGUCAACACCAUGGACUGAACACCCACUGGGCUAAGCCCUGGGCCAGGCUGGGGCAUGUGGGGCCAGGAGGCAGCUCAGAGUGGGAGACAGAGACAAGUGUGCUCAGAGGGCACCCAUAUCUGCAUAUAACGUGGUCCUGAAUUUCUGGCUGGGAAGUGCUUCCAGGGUUUCAUAUGUGUUAUGGAGAUGCUUCCUCUCUCCAACCUCACCGUGCAGGAAUCCCAGUGAAUAUAUUGCCACCAUCUUGGAGCUCAGUGCCCUCAUAGUGUAACAGCACCAGCAGAUCUGCCUGUGCACAGACUUCCUGUACUACCUCACUCCUGAGGGGAGAUGCUUCUGCAGGGCCUGCGACCUGGUGCACAACUUUAGACACCAUCAUCCUGGAGCGGCACUGCACCCUCACUAGCCAGGGUGUUGAUGACUUCCUCAAUGCCAAGGCCACGUUCAAGAUUUUCGACUUCAGUGAUGCGUUUGUGCUGAGCAAGCCGUUUUGCACACCCUGGUCAGAAUGAAACAUUCCUUGGGAACUCGGGCCGUGAGAAGCAUCCUUCCUGAUCACCUGACUGUAGAAACAUCCUUAUCGCACCCUCCCGGGCAAAGGCCCAACAGCCUGACUGCAGGAACAUCCUUGCCAUAUCCUGCCGGGCAGCAAGCUCUACCGCCCACACCCCUCCUUCCCAGUCCCAUGAUCACCCCAGCCUGUGAGAGGCAGUUGGUGCUGGCAGUAAGCUGGUUUCCUCCUCUGCAGGGUUUUGCUAGUAAUAAAGGUGUUGCUGUUGAAGCCGUCAA
rnacentral:lncRNA from 1 species